GAUGAACGCUGGCGGUAUGCUUAACACAUGCAAGUCGAACGGUACCUUCGGGUAUAGUGGCGGACGGGUGAGUAACGCGUGAGAAUCUAUCUUCAGGUCGGGGACAACAGUUAGAGAUGACUGCUAAUACCGGAUGUGCCGAAAGGUAAAAGAUUUAUUGCCUGAAAAAGAGCUCGCGUCAGAUUAGCUAGUAGGUGGUGUAAGAGACUACCUAGGCUUCGAUCUGUAGCUGGUCUGAGAGGACGAUCAGCCACACUGGAACUGAGACACGGUCCAGACUCCUACGGGAGGCAGCAGUGGGGAAUUUUCCGCAAUGGGCGAAAGCCUGACGGAGCAAUACCGCGUGAGGGACGAAGGCUCUUGGGUCGUAAACCUCUUUUCUCAAGGAAGAUUCAGACGGUACUUGAGGAAUAAGCAUCGGCUAACUCUGUG
rnacentral:rRNA from 1 species